ACUUUCUAGAGCCGUCAAACUACAUAGAAAUUUAUAGAUAAAAGAAACGCCCAAUAAAUUAUAAUUUAUCGGCGAGACUAUGAUUUAAAAUGGCAUUAAAUGCUAAGUUUAAUCAGAUGUCUAUGGGCUCCGGUAACCACUUAACACCAGAUGGGCUGUGAGCUCGCCCACCCACCAAAGCAAUAAAAAAUAAAUAAAAAAUUGAGCGACGGCAACCACUCACUAUCAGAUGAGGCGUAUGUUCGUCUACCUACGAAAGCAACAUAAUAAAGCCUUCUACCUCCUAUGGGUGAUACUUCAAUCUUUGAGCUUUCGCUAAGUGAUGUCUAUGGGCUACGUUGAUCACUUAACACCAGGCGGACCGAGAGCUUAUUAGCGCAUCAGUCAAUCUGUGUAUAAAUCAAUCGAGUCGUUAAACAAACUUUCAUAUUUAUGUUUUUAUUACAUUAUAUAUGCGAUUGAAAAUCAACAAUAAAACAGACUUAAUUGGUAUACCCACAA